rnacentral:rRNA from 1 species
UACAGAGGUCUCAAGCGUUAUCCGGAUUCACUGGGUUUAAAGGGUGCGUAGGUGGGCAAGUAAGUCAGUGGUGAAAUCUCCGGGCUUAACCCGGAAACUGCCAUUGAUACUAUUUGUCUUGAAUACUGUGGAGGUCAGCGGAAUAUGUCAUGUAGCGGUGAAAUGCUUAGAUAUGACAUAGAACACCAAUUGCGAAGGCAGCUGGCUACACAAAUAUUGACACUGAGGCACGAAAGCGUGGGGAUCAAACAGG